AUGAUCACAAUUACUACCAUUAUCUCCACCACCGCAACCACCACCCUGUAAUGUAACUUUCAAAAAAAAAAUUAAUAAAUACCGGUAUACAAAUUACAAAAAUAUAAUACAUUUUUUGUUGAAACCUACGGUAUAUUUUUUCAUUAUGAUGCAGUGGUGUACCGGUAUCUAGGAGUUAUAAAAUAUGGGAGCUGAUUGGGAGAGGAGAAGGUGAAGGUUUAAGGAAGGGGCACUAGAUAAAGUGAUUUUUAACUUAAUUUUGUCAUUUUUUUUUUUGCUUCGGACAUUUUCAAUGGGGAAAAUUCUGUUUUCCAUAUAUAUGCACACAUGUAUAUGUGGUAUAAACCCUUAAACAUUGUUAAUAUAAUAUUUGUGUUGCACACUUUAUGCCCUAAUUGUUACAUGCCAUGAAACAAUAAACAUUAAAUUGGCGACAUGAAUAGGUUUUUCAAAAUUUCAAAAAAUAUUUUGUUACAGAAGAAAUACAGUAAACAAACGAUUAAUAAGGUCCGGUGUACGAUUGUUGAUAAUUUCGAACGACUGUCCAUAACACCUCUCCUUUAAUUUGCGAGAAAUUUUUCAAUGAAUCAAUUUUACCGCCUAGAGUUCUUCCAACCAAUAAAUCGACGGAGUGCAUCUGGGUACAGCAACAUGCGUACGCUGCGACUGAGCUGUACAGUAGCACAGGCUGAAAAAUAAACGUUCUUGCUUUGUCCUUUGUCCCGGGCUGUGUACUGGAAUGUCGUCUUAAAUCGGGAGCUAAAAUUCGUAAUUUUUUAUCAUACUGAUAAAUACAUGGAUAUUUACGCACUUUCAGACGCAUCUUGGAGGGGGAUAUGGAGAUAUGUUCACCGUUAUGGCUUGAUUUGGCAUUUAAACAUGAUCGGAAGUGUUUUGUUUACUAUCGGUCGUCUGGUCUCUCAGAACAAAGGAAUAUCGCAGUCAGUGCUAAUUUUGGGCGGAAACAGACAGACGACCGACGGUUGUCGGACCCAAUACCCUGGAUUUCCGACCACCUUCCAUAAUAUAACUCUGGAUAUUUCUUGCACUUUUGGAUAUACAGUACUGGAUACUUAACUAUGGAGUAGGAUGGGUUGCAAUAAAGGUCAUUGACCUUCGGAAGGUGAAAGAGGAUUACGUCAGAAGGAAUUUGUACCGUGAAGCCAAAGUACUGUCACAACUCAGGCAUCCAAACAUUAUUCGUCUUUACGAAACAAUCAAGUCCACCAAUCUCUACUGCCUGGUCACUGAAUAUGCACCUGGCGGCGACCUGCUUACAUUGGUGCGACGUCAGCGUGGGGGUAGGCUGACGGAGGGAUCUGCAAGGCCGUACGUCCGUCAGUUGGUAUCAGCUCUACAUCACAUGCACGAACGCAAAGUGGUU